rnacentral:misc_RNA from 1 species
UACGUAGGUGGCAAGCGUUGUCCGGAAUUAUUGUGCGUAAAGCGCGCGCAGGUGGUUUCUUAGGUCUGAUGUGAAAGCCCACGGCUCAACCGUGGAGGGUCAUUGGAAACUGGGGAACUUGCGUGCAGAAGAGGAAAGUGGAAUUCCAUGUGUAGCGGUGAAAUGCGUAGAGAUGUGGAGGAACACCAGUGGCGAAGGCGACUUUCUGGUCUGUAACUGACACUGAGGCGCGAAAGCGUGGGGAGCAAACAGG